GAUGAAGAACGCAGUGAAACGCGAUAUGUAAUGUGAAUUGCAGAAUUCAGUGAAUCAUCGAAUCUUUGAACGCACAUGGCGCCUUCCAGUAUCCUGGGAGGCAUGCCUGUCCGAGCGUCGUUUCAACCCUCGAGCCCCUGUGGCCCGGCGUUGGGGAUCUGCCACGGCAGGCCCCUAAAACCAGUGGCGGAACCGAAGGGCCCUCUCCUUUGCGCAGUAGCAUUCGCCUCGCAUCGGGAGCCCUCGGCGUCCUGCCUCUAAACCCCCCACAAGCCCGCUUCGGCGGCACCAAGGUUGACCUCGGAUCAGGUAGGAAUACCCGCUGAACUUAAGCAUAUCAAUAAGCGGAGGA
rnacentral:misc_RNA from 1 species